rnacentral:lncRNA from 1 species
AGGAGGAGCUCGCUGUUACCUGAAGGGAUGGACUGGUCGGUGGAAUGUCCGGUGCCGUGAGUUACCUGCUCAGCCCUGGAGCAGGGGUCAAAGCUGGGCGGAGCUGGACAGCCAGUCUCAGCCUCAGGUACUCCAGUGACAAGCAGCAGCACCAGUGCUGAUGAGGGUAGCAGGGAAAACUGGUGAAAUGUGCCGAGGUCUCUCCAGAGGUGGUAGGCGGUUGCGCCAGCUUCACAUCCUGGAUAGGCAGGAACGUUUCCCUAUCAUACUCCUGUCCCGGGUCUCAUGUGUCUCAGUUCAAACAGACACUGCCGUCUAUCUUCAAGCUGCAAUGAAGCUGAGAGCCACAGAAAACACCUGUACCAUGGUUUCAGGGAGGAGUCUCUUCCCUCAGCCGAAAACAGACAGCUUUGCUGGUCAUCUGUUCUCCACUGCGAGGACGCUGCCACUCAGUGUGGAGAGAGGAAGGGGUUCUGCCUAUGGUGCAAGAAGGUCGGACUCGGCAGUUAAUACUCUUGGAUAAUGUAUUUAAGGAUGCUUAAGAAAUUGCAACAGCCAGUUCAACCUUCAGCAACCACCAUACUGAUCAGUAGUCAUCAACAUUGAGACGAGACUGUACACCAGCAAAAAGAUCCCAACUCAAUGAAGGCUCAGAUGAUUUUAGCAUUUUUUUAGCAAUAAAGCAUUUUUAAAUUAAACUAUAUACAUUGUUGUUUUAGACAAGUUUUUGCACAUUCAGAAUACAGUAAAGUGUAAACAUGACUUUUAUAUACACUGGGGAAACCAAAAAAUUUGUGUGACUUACUUUAUUGCAAUAUUUGUUUUAUUGUGCUGAUCUGGAGCUAAAUAUAUCUGAGAUAUGCUUGUACUGAUGAUUAUUUUAACACCAAGAUAUUUUAAAAUUCAUUAAAUAAAUGUUUAUUUAAAUAGA